rnacentral:rRNA from 1 species
AUUGAACGCUGGCGGCAGGCCUAACACAUGCAAGUCGAACGAGUGGCGGACGGGUGAGUAAUGUCUGGGAAACUGCCUGAUGGAGGGGGCUAACUACUGGAAACGGUAGCUAAUACCGCAUACCCUCGGAUGUGUCCAGAUGGGAUUAGCUAGUAGGUGGGGUAACGGCUCACCUAGGCGACGAUCCGUCGCUGGUCUGAGAGGAUGACGAGCCACACUGGAACGGAGACACGACCCAGCCUCAUACGGAAGGCGGCAGUGGGGAGAAUUGCACAAGGGGCGCAAGCCUGGUGCAGCCAGGCCACGUGUAUGAAGAAGGCCUGCGGGUUGUAAGGUACUUUCAGCGGGAAGGCGGUACCCUAAGAAGAAGCACCGGCUAACUCCGUGCCAGCAGCCGCGGUAAUAC